rnacentral:lncRNA from 1 species
AGACAACUGGGGAGCAGGGAUUUGAACCAGGCUAACUAACUUCAAAGCCCAAGACUUUAACCACUAUGGAGAAAACUAAACACUGUAUCGUGCCCAAAGAGGCACUGCUAAAACCCUGGGGAGCAGGGAUUUGAACCAGACUAACUCGCUCCAAAGCCCAAGACCUUAACCACUAUGAAGAAAACUAUAUCGUUCCUAAAGAGACACGGCUAACACCAGAGACACGGCUAACACCCUAUCCAUCCAAGAGAAUACAGCGGAAAGAAGAAGGGUGACCAAUAGGUGGGCGAGGGGUGAGCCCCGCUUCCCCCGCCUGCCUCCCCAGGUAGCUCACCAGGAUGCCCAUCACGUCGGUCCAGAGGCGGGAGAUUGACUCGGAGACACCGGCCUCGGGCUCCAGCUCCCGGGCGGGAUCCACCUCCGGCUCAGGCUCCGGCGCCGGGCUAGCAGCUCCCGCGUCCUCCUCCAUGGCCGCGUCCCCGUGCGUCCGCGUCCGGGUCCCCGCGCUGCCCACCGCUCGCAGCAGCGCGUCGGCCGACGGGGCGCAAGUUCCCCGCCCGCGGCGUCACCGGGCCGCGCCCCCGCGUCGCAUGCCCCAGGCUCCGCUGGGUACGAGCACCACUGCCAGGACUGGCACCUCGAUCCCGGGCGACCGCGAUUGACAACUCCAGAAACUUUUCCUAGCCCGGCCCCGCGCAGCAACAGGGUAGCUGGAGCAGAGUCCACAACACUGGCUGCGGCGGGGAGUUCACGGGACCAGGGAGACAAGAGCCACACCGCACGGGUGCUGCGUCCUGCUUCGGGGACCGGCUCCGGGUGGCACACCACUCGCCUCUACUGGAGAGUUUGUGCAGGGCUGGGCAGGGGACAGUGACGCCUGUGGACCCGGGCUAAUUAGUCCUGGACCCCUCUCUUUAGAAUGAGCUCUUCCAACUCCACAUGACUCCCUCCCCUCCAGGCUCAAGAAAGCGUUUAGCAACAAAAGGUGCUCUGAUGUCAGGCGCUUUGCAUGGAAAUGAGCCUCAGCCUGGCCAACAAAUCGCCUUUUGAAAGCGCCACCGCGCCACGGGCCCGGGGCCCUGCACAAGUCCCCAAUCGCGCCAUUCACCCGCGCCUUCCGCCACUGAAACUGCAGAAAGUUAAUCUUUAAGCCGCUCGCUGAGUUCGAGUUUAAGAGGAGUCCGUAUGGUGACAACCCCUGGAAUUACAGUCCUGUCUGUCAGGCUUCUUGGAAAACAAAGUGUGACAAAGCUCGCCUGGUCACGAGCCAUUGUUUGGGUCGUAAGUCCGGGCGUUUCGGCUCCCGAGUGGCCGCAGUGCUGUGCACUUCUAGGGUUUUCGGAUACUUAAAUGAGACCCUCUCUGAGCUGUAAGGGUGUGUUUUGUUUUGUUUUGUUUUGUUUUGUUUUGUUUUGUUUUGUUUUGUUUUGUUUUACGUGGAAGAAACAGGCAAGGGGUAUGUUCAAAAUAAAAGUUAAUUUUAUGGCCGCU